AACGAACGCUGGCGGCAGGCCUAACACAUGCAAGUCGAGCGCCCCGCAAGGGGAGCGGCGGAUGGGUGAGUAACGCGUGGGAACGUACCCUUUUCUGCGGAAUAGCCCAGGGAAACUUGGAUUAAUACCGCAUACGCCCUUCGGGGGAAAGAUUUAUCGGAGAAGGAUCGGCCCGCGUUGGAUUAGGUAGUUGGUGGGGUAAUGGCCUACCAAGCCGACGAUCCAUAGCUGGUUUGAGAGGAUGAUCAGCCACACUGGGACUGAGACACGGCCCAGACUCCUACGGGAGGCAGCAGUGGGGAAUCUUCGGCAAUGGGCGCAAGCCUGACCGAGCCAUGCCGCGUGAGCGAUGAAGGCCUUAGGGUUGUAAAGCUCUUUCGCCAGGGAUGAUAAUGACAGUACCUGGUAAAGAAACCCCGGCCAACUCCGUGCCAGCCGCCGCCGUAAAAC
rnacentral:rRNA from 1 species